GCCUCAUGACCCUUCCAGGGGUAUAAAUUAACAUCAAGGCAGAUGUAAUGAAAGCCAUACCCCUGCUAUGUGCUGCUAGCCCAUGGUUCUGAUCAAUAGAAUCAAUACAUGCAUUUUUCACCAUACUAGGAUGAAUUCAGAGCGGUGCCUUCAUCUUACUUAGCUGACACAGGUAUGGUGUCCGUACGAUAACGCUCACUGUAUCUGCGUGGAGCGCGGGCCGGAGAAUCCGUUGGAUAAACUGCACACGUAAAGUUUCCGUCAGGAUUAUUUGCUCAAAGGUGCAUGACCGCGAUUAAACAGCAGAAAGGGACGUCAGCAGUGACGAACACGGCUGUGAGAGAAAAUCAAUGUCCUUCUGUGAGCUGACUUUGGAGAGUUUCCGUAUAAGGGCUAGAAGCAGGGAAGAGGAGGACCCACCGUUGGACCCAUUACUGGAGUUGUUUGCAUAAGUAAGGAGAGCCGCCAUCUCAUCGUAGGGCAAACCGAGUGGCCAAAUGCACCAAGAGAAGUGGGAACGAGCAAACACAACGACAGCGUCACUCAGCAAACGCUUCUAUCUCUCACACACAUGCUGAAGCCACUUGUCCUAAGCGGGGUCACGGCAAACUGGAGCCUAACCCCGCAACACAGGGCGCAAGGCUGGAGAGGGAGGGGACACAGCCAGGAUGGGACACAGCCAGGACGGGACGCCGGUCCAUCGCAAGGCACCCCAAGGUUGCAGUGAACCGGAGCCUAUCCCAGAAGCAUUGGGUGCAAGGACGCCAAUCCAUUGCAGGGCAAGUAUAUUAUUAACAUAAGUAUCAUUAACUAAACUAUUUAUCUGGCUCCUUUCGCCAAAGUGACUUGAAAUGUCAGGUUUGUUCUGUCAUGGAGUCACAACGGAAGGAAGCUGUUGGAUCCAAGUCUGCAGCGUCGGGGUUCAGAAGGGGAAUCUAGCCAAUGCACAAACAUUAGCAGAGUGGAAAUCCGAAAGCUAUAAUCCGUGAGACAAGCAGGAGAUCGAGGAAACCGAGGGAUCCAAAGAGAGAAGGGAAGGGAGACGGGAGACGGGAGAACAGGACUGAGGACGGAUGGAAGAGGAAAGGUAAGGAGUCAAGGAGCAUACGAGAAUGACGAUCAAA
rnacentral:lncRNA from 1 species